CAGAGAGGAGGUAUAUUUUGUAGUCGUACCUCAUCAAUGGAUACUUUUGGUUAAGAAUUAUCUUGUACUUGUAUUUAUAGGUCUUGAACUUCUUUAAGUUCAAUUUUUUUCCCACUACCUCUUUUUAAGAUAAACUUUUUUUUCAUAAAAGUGGCAUGUUUACUGACAAACACCUUUUGUUCAAUAGGAUGAUAAAAAAGAUAUCCCAUACUCUU
rnacentral:lncRNA from 1 species